rnacentral:lncRNA from 1 species
UUUCCUUCUUGCAACUUGCAACUUGCAACAAAGACCAAGUUACCAGAAAAGGGUCCUGUUUUGUAGUUUGUGUAUUUGCAGCAAUCCUUUCACUGCAUGUACAAAUUGUCCAAUAGAAAUCAUUUUCACACUGUUUAGCUCUAUCUGCUGUUGAUCUUGUUAAAGUUUCUUUGGAUUUGCAGAUAUGUGGUACUUGUAUUAUGAUGAAGUUUCAGAAAAUUUUAACUAUUAUUGUUGUAUCAGAAACUCAAAUCAGUUGCACAAUCACAAUAUGGAUAGAAAAAUAAAAACAAAAUUUUAUACAUAGCAAAAAACUCUCAAAUUCUAGCAUGAACUGACGUCUGUCUAGUUUUUUUAGAGACAAUACUUCUCUCUAUUUUCGUUUACCUUCUGGGCUUCCAGAUUAGAGUGGUUUCUCCCUCCUUGCCUGUGGGACAAGUUUGUAAAAGGUUACUUUGAGUUUUCGGUUGCAGCUUUGCAAAUCAGCCUUUUCUACUGUUGAGGCUUUGAGUCUUGGGGCCUGCUGCCCAACGCGCCCUUGGAAGCUCUUCUGCUCUUUGGGGGCAUCGCUGAUGCAUCUGUUCUUUGAGCCCAAAGUGUGUGUCAUAAAAGGAGACUCGUUUGCUAUCUUGGCUCCAUUACUUGAAGACUGCCAGUGGAAAGAUGCGAUUUGUAGAAUUGUGGAUGGAUCUGGAUCUUAUUGCGACCUCGCUCUGAUGGCUGCCGCACCCCGUAAGGGUAAGACGCCAUUAGAAAUCUGCCUCCAACUCUCCAUACUGCUCAUCAGAUGCGUUUGUUUUUUCCUAAGAUCCUGUUGCCGUCGGGGAAAAGAGGGAAACUUUGAAGGCUUGUACACCGCAGUCCGCUUCUUUCAUCGGUAAAAGAUGACGGCAACGCCAAUUUGGGACUGCAUCUUUCGCUUUAAGCCCCGUCGAUUGUUGUAGGCUUCUUUUGUACAUUGGACUAUGGGCCUCCAUGAUGUAGGGCUAAUUUAGUUUUGGUCCUCUGUUUUUUUUAUCUUCCUCUGAUUGGGCUACUAGUUAUUUAUUGGGCAUGGGCCUUGUAAUCUAUCCCUUUUUUCCAAUGAACUUAUUGCCUUUGGUGGGAGGCGGGGGAAAUUGUUUUUUUUUUUUUUUUACCAUAC